UGGGGAAUAUUGCACAAUGGGCGCAAGCCUGAUGCAGCCAUGCCGCGUGUGUGAAGAAGGCCUUCGGGUUGUAAAGCACUUUCAGCGGGGAGGAAGGCGUUAAGGUUAAUAACCUUGGCGAUUGACGUUACCCGCAGAAGAAGCACCGGCUAACUCCGUGCCAGCAGCCGCGGUAAUACGGAGGGUGCAAGCGUUAAUCGGAAUUACUGGGCGUAAAGCGCACGCAGGCGGUCUGUCAAGUCGGAUGUGAAAUCCCCGGGCUCAACCUGGGAACUGCAUUCGAAACUGGCAGGCUAGAGUCUUGUAGAGGGGGGUAGAAUUCCAUGUGUAGCGGUGAAAUGCGUAGAGAUGUGGAGGAAUACCGGUGGCGAAGGCGGCCCCCUGGACAAAGACUGACGCUCAGGUGCGAAAGCGUGGGGAGCAAACAGG
rnacentral:rRNA from 1 species